CCCGCCUCUGCUGUUGAAAGAUUGGCUGAACAGCUGUUGGGCUCGGCCUCUGCUGCUCUCUACUUUAUAAAGCUGGGAACACCAGGCUCCGUCAAACAGAGAUAGCGCGAAGCUCCUGCUUGUUUAAUUUACUGGUUCAGCGAAACUUUACUUUGAGAACUUCUGUCAACUAUUUCAGAGAAACUAGUCCGCCAUCUGUUUGACUAGUCUAGACCCUCCGCAGCAGUAUGGCUACCUUCGUCUCGAUGGCUACCUGCCACACCUAUAACAACACGUCCAGGCACAACGGUGUCAACAGGGACUUCAUGGCCGCUCUCUCCAAGAGCCACGGGAGCACAGGCAAACGCAACAGUCCCCAGUCGACCAACAGAAACAAUGCCAUGGGCAUACCAAAGUCUGCCCCCAAUGACAAGACACCCUGCAGUACGCCAAGGUCGAUAUCCUCUGAGACCAGCAGUUCCUCCUUGGCCUCCAAGCCCGCCAGUGUGAAGAAGUCUACCUUCUCCCGCCUCAAGAGGUUCCUCAUGCUGGAAGACAACCAGAAGACCAAGGGGAGGACUCAAAGACUUUACUAUCCUCCCUCUGAAUGACUGACAAACACUUGGCUCCACUGCAAUGACCCAACAGUCAGCCUUUUCACCACCAUGAUAUGACACUGACGCACCAGGCUCUCUGGCCUGCUUGCAAUUCAGAAUGGGCCUCCUGGAAUUCAGAACGGGGGAUGGGUCAGCAGUCAGUCAAUAAGUAAUACAGGGCCUCCUGUUGCACUAACUUUUUUUUAAUAUAUAUUUUUUUAACUUGCCCCUCCCAACUACCCCUGAGGUCCCCCUUCCGUAGAGCUGUUCAAACAUAAUGGCCCCACACCACGGCAUCGUCCAGGAAUUCCAUUGUCCCUAUGGAUGGCGGGAACUGAAUAGGAAGCAAAGCUCCCCCUUUUCUUCCAUGUUAUUUAUGAGGCAAGCAGAAUAACUUAAUUCGAGUUAUAGGAUGUUUUGAUUGAGAGGGUGAUUUUUAUUUGUUACAAUCACAUUUCUAUGAUAAAUUACUUACACAUUUAUAUUCACGCUUAAGUUUCAUGCUUCUUGAACUUUGUUUAUUUUUUACUUGGUUGUCAUUUAUUUUCAUAGACUUUCCCACUCUUCUCUUGAGGUUACUAUCCAAGUAGAGAUGAUCUGUAGCUGUUUACAGGUUUGUUUGUGUGGCUCUACUAUUUUAUGAUCACUGCCAAAUGUUUUACUUUUAUGUAAAGGUCCAAUUUUUGUGUACUGGUGGUUUUGAGAUCAUAUUUGGAUGAAUGGGACGCAUCAACUUAACAUUGAAAUUGUUUAUAUGCCUGAACCUUAAUGACAAUGCAAACGUGACUUUCUUUCAGUGGUUUCAUGUUUGUUGAAGAUGGGUUUUGCUGUUUGAAGGCUUCACCUUUUACCUGUUUUGAAGUUGUUUUUUUAAUGUUUGGAUUUACAAUGUCAAUUAGACUGCUUUUGUUCCAACACACUUUAUUGCAUUUAGUGACAUGUUUAAUUAAUCCAAUGUGUGAGUCUGUAGCAUUUCACAGAAUACUGAAAUACCUCACAUUUUAUAUUCCUUUUACACCUUGCUUCUGUGAAAUGAAAAUGUUUUUAGGGAUUCUUAUUACUGUGUUACAUGAUAGAAUUUCAAGAAGAUAUGUCUACCCAAUUGUCAUACUUGAGGAAAAGUAAGGAUACUUUAAUAGAAAAUUCCUCACGUGAAAUUCACCCAGUAAAAUAUUACUUGAGUAAAAAUCUAAAAGUAUUUGGUUUUAAAUGUACUUUUAUCAAAAUUAUAAGUAACUUUAAUUCCUUUAAGCAAACCAGAUGGUGCCAUUUUGUUAUUCAUGGCUCACCAGGGGCACACUCCAACACUCAGACAUCAUUUACAAAUUGUGUUUAGUGAGUCCGUCAGCUCAGAGGCAGUACGGAUGACCGGGGGGGUUCUCUUGAUGACUGUGUGAAUUGUAUCUUUUCCUGUCCUGUUAAGCAUUAAAACUGUAACGAGUACUUUUGGGUGUUGGGGGGCGGAGAAUGUGUGGAGUAAAAAGUACAUUGUUCUUUUAGGAAUGUAGUGAUGUAAAGUACAGAUACUGUAAAAAUACUUUGAAUUACUACUUAACUUUCCUACUCUGGCAUUCACAAUGUGUGUUUUCAGCUUACACAUUUUUAAGUGCUACAGAACAUUAAGGGUACCCCACUACAUGUUCUGAUAAACACCUCAGGAA